AGCGAACGCUGGCGGCAGGCCUAAUACAUGCAAGUCGAGCGCACCUUCGGGUGAGCGGCGGACGGGUGAGUAACGCGUGGGAACGUGCCCUUUGGUACGGGAUAACUGAGGGAAACUUCAGCUAAUACCGUAUGUGCCCCACGGGGGAAGGAUUUAUCGCCAUUGGAGCGGCCCGCGUUGGAUUAGGUAGUUGGUGAGGUAAAGGCUCACCAAGCCUACGAUCCAUAGCUGGUCUGAGAGGAUGAUCAGCCACACUGGGACUGAGACACGGCCCAGACUCCUACGGGAGGCAGCAGUAGGGAAUCUUGCGCAAUGGGCGAAAGCCUGACGCAGCCAUGCCGCGUGAAUGAUGAAGGUCUUAGGAUUGUAAAAUUCUUUCACCGGGGAAGAUAAUGACGGUACCCGGAGAAGAAGCCCCGGCUAACUUCGUGCCAGCCGCCGCGGUAAGAC
rnacentral:rRNA from 1 species